UACGUAGGCAGCGAGCGUUGUUCGGAGUUACUGGGCGUAAAGGGUGUGUAGGCGGUUUUCUAAGUUUGGUGUGAAAUCUCCCGGCUCAACCGGGAGGGUGCGCCGAAAACUGGCGAGCUAGAGUACGAAAGAGGAUCGCGGAAUUCCCGGUGUAGAGGUGAAAAUUCGUAGAUAUCGGGAGGAACACCGGUGGCGAAGGCGGCGAUCUGGGUCGAUACUGACGCUGAGGAGCGAAAGCGUGGGGAGCGAACAGG
rnacentral:rRNA from 1 species